rnacentral:rRNA from 1 species
GAGUUUGAUCCUGGCUCAGAUUGAACGCUGGCGGCAUGCCUUACACAUGCAAGUCGAACGGCAGCACGGGAGCUUGCUCCUGGUGGCGAGUGGCGAACGGGUGAGUAAUGCAUCGGAACGUAUCCUGGAGUGGGGGAUAACGUAGCGAAAGUUACGCUAAUACCGCAUAUUCUGUGAGCAGGAAAGCGGGGGACCUUCGGGCCUCGCGCUCUUGGAGCGGCCGAUGUCGGAUUAGCUAGUUGGUGAGGUAAAGGCUCACCAAGGCGACGAUCCGUAGCAGGUCUGAGAGGAUGAUCUGCCACACUGGAACUGAGACACGGUCCAGACUCCUACGGGAGGCAGCAGUGGGAUUUUGGACAAUGGGGGCAACCCUGAUCCAGCCAUGCCGCGUGAGUGAAGAAGGCCUCGG